ensembl:lncRNA
UUUUUUUUUUUUUUUGUUAGUUUUUUUUGGUUUUGUUAAUACAGUAUUUGUUAAUAAUAAAGAUUAUGCACUACAAAAAAAGUUAAGAAAUGUGCCUAAAGCAACUGAAAAAGAAAGGAGAGGCUACUUUGGAGAAAUUGAAACUCACAAUGCAUGUAAUUUAAAAAAAAACAAACAUUUUUUUUCAGGUGAUACAUUGUGAAACUGAACGACACCACGUGAUUAAAAGGAUGCAUGCAGAAGAAGGAGGAAACUGAAACACAUCACGUCGAGCAAUUUCAGAGACCUUACAGCCAGAGGCUUUACCAGUGUACACGCUGUAGAAAACCAUGGCCCACAGCAAGGAUUCACCAUGGACUUUAGAGUUCCCUCAGGAUCUUCUUCCGUCUGCGGAGCGAACAGCUCUUCUCUAUCAUCUGUGUUACCUGCUUCUGGGAAGAUUCCUCGAUUUGCAGAGUCUGAUCAGAGAACAAGCUCUUGAAACACAACGGGUGUUUAGAUGCUCUGAGGCUGUUAUUAUAAAGGCCCAAGGCUGCACAAUUAAUUUAAAUAAAACUGAAAUCAUUGUAUGGUUCCAUGACUACACCUCUCUUUCAGACGUGAAAAUUAUAAAUAAAAAAAAUUCUUGAAAUUGUGCGCAGCUGAAUGGUUUCAGAUCUUCACCAAAUGCUGCCUAAUUAAUGUCAUUAACAUAUAAUAGAGCACCAGUCAACGUCCAAAUCCUUUACUUGAGAAUGGCAAGCCGGAAGAAUUGCUUAGAUUCCCAAAUAGCUGCAGUACUGUGACUCUCUGCCACAAGGAAAAGUACCAAAGACCACAUAUAAGUUAUUAAUUGAAAAUCUUCUCCUCUGCCAAAACUCUGACUUUCUAUGAAUUACUAAACCUUGGGAACAUGUCACAUUGAUGUCAAUGACACUAAAAUACCAUUGAUUCUCACAUGUUCAAAUACGUAGAAAAGUGCACAAGUCACAUUGAUUUUGGCCUGAAAUCCCAUUAAAUUCCACAAAAUUUGCUGAUAUUAAAGUUAUGAGUCACUCAAGCGUUGUGGUCUUUUAUGGAGUAGAUCCAGGUUAGUGCCCAAUAGUCGGUCUCCAGGUCAAACUCCUGCCCCAGGAGGUAGAAUCGUAGAGCUUCUAGGGCCCACUUUAUUGUGAGGCACUUCUUUUCGAUUGUUGAGUACCUGGUCUUGCUAUGCAAUAGCUUCCUGCUCAAAAACACCACAGGCUUAUUUGCCCCCAGAGUCCCUUGGGCCAGGACUCCUCCAAUCCCCUUGUCAGAGACAUCCACCUGUACCAGGAACCACUGGUUGAAGUCAGGGCUCUGCAGCACUGGUGCUGAACACAUUUUCCCUCUCAGGGAGUUGAAUGGUCUUUCGCAGGCAUGGGUCCAUUUCACCAGGUGCUUUCUGUAGUAAGUCCAUCAGUGGUGCCGCGAUUGAGGCAAAGUCAGGGUUGAACCGGCGGUACCAGCCCCCAAGACCCAGGAAGGAACGAACUUCCUUCUUCGUCUUAGGUCUUGGACUGUCCUGGAUUGCUUUUACCUUACAUGCCUGUGGCCGCAGUUUACCAUUGCCUAAUUGGUACCCCAGGUAGUUUGUUUCUUGCUUUACCCACUCAUACUUAGCAACGUUUAAGAACAGGCCCGCUGCAUGGAUUUUCUUUAGGGUCUGUCAUAGAUGGCUAAGGUGCUCCUCCCAGUUAUGGCUGUACAUGACUACAUCAUCCAGGUAGGCUGCAGCCCAUUUUCCACUGCCCUGAAGUACUUGGUCCAUCAGUCGCUGGAAGGUGGCAGGUGCCCCGUGCAGACCAAAGGGUAGAGCGGUGAAUUGGUAUAGUCCAACUGAUGUUCUAAAGGCAGUGAGAGGCUUGGAGUUCACCUGCCAGUACCCCUUGCACAGGUCCAGUGUCAUGAUGUACCGGGCCUGCCCUAUCCACUACAACAGGUCAUCAAUCCUUGGCAUAGGGUAGGCAUCAUACUUCGACUGGGCAUUCAGCUUGUGGAAAUCAACACAGACAUGCAUUGAUCCAUCUUUUUUUAGUACAAUGACCAGUGAACUGUUCCACUCACUAGUGGAAGGCUCAAUGACAUCCAACUCUUUCAUUGUCUCAAUUUCUGCUUUUAGGGGAGCAAGUAGUCAUUCAGGGAUUCUGUUUGGUUGCUGUCUGGAGGGAGUCGGAUUAGUGAGGUGUGUGGUGUGUUGGAUGAGCUCGUUCCGUCCAGGCCUUGGCCAGAAUAAUGACGGGAGCUGACGGAGGAGAUCUUGCAGCUCUGUCCGCUGUGGCCCGUCCAGGUGAUCCAGCAUCACCAUUGCAGCAUCUCUCUGCGGUCGCAUAUAUGGGGCAGGCUCAUCCCCUACUGUUCUCACCAUCAACGCCAUGUUUUUGGGGGUCACUGUUCCCUCCUUCCACUCCUUCAGCAGGUUGAUAUGGCAGGUCUGGUGGGUCUUCCUCUUGUCCGGGUGGUAAAUCUCAUAAGUCACCGGACCCAUCUUCCUCACAACAGUAUACGGCCCCUGCCACUUGGCGAGCAACUUGUUGGUGGAAGGUGGUAACAGUAACAGUACCUUCUGUCCUGGCUGAAACUGGCACAGUCUGGCUUGCUGGUUGUACCACCUCUUCUGCACUGCUUGUGCUUCUUGGAGGUUUUCUUUGGCUUGUCUCUCAACUCCAGGAUGAACUUUACGAUGCCCUUCUCCUCUGUUUCGGCCUUCGGUUUGGUCCAGGUUUUCUUUAAGAUGUCCAGUGGUCCUUGUACUUGCUAGCCGUAGAGGAGUUCAAAGGGUGAGAAUCCUGUUGAUGCUUGUGGUUCCUCUCGGUAGACAAACAGGAAAAUGGCAGCCACUUAUCCCAAUCGCGUCCAGUGUCUGCGACAAACUUCGGCAGCAUACUCUUCAGCAUCUGAUUGAACCUCUCC